rnacentral:rRNA from 1 species
CUACGGGACGCUCCAGUGGGGAAUAUUGCACAAUGGGGGAAACCCUGAUGCAGCAACGCCGCGUGGAGGAUGACACAUUUCGGUGCGUAAACUCCUUUUAUAGGUCAAGAUAAUGACGGUAGCCUAUGAAUAAGCGCCGGCUAACUCCGUGCCAGCAGCCGCGGUAAUACGGAGGGCGCAAGCGUUACUCGGAAUCACUGGGCGUAAAGAGCAUGUAGGCGGGUUAAUAAGUCAGAAGUGAAAUCCAAUAGCUCAACUAUUGAACUGCUUUUGAAACUGUUAACCUAGAGUGUGGGAGAGGUAGAUGGAAUUUCUGGUGUAGGGGUAAAAUCCGUAGAGAUCAGAAGGAAUACCGAUUGCGAAGGCGAUCUACUGGAACAUUACUGACGCUGAGAUGCGAAAGCGUGGGGAGCAAACAAGAUUAGAUACCCCGGUAGUC